UUAGAAAGUUACAUCUCUCUUGAAUCCAUUCUUAAAGGCCUUCAAGGACUCAGGCACAGCCUUGGGAAACCAGGAAAUGUGACUGUGUCAAUCACCACACAGUCCAACUUCCUUUUCGUGUAGGAAAUGUUUUCUUUAUCAUUAAUUGAUCAGUUCUCCCCUUUCCAAACUUCUGGCAAUUUGGGAAAUGGAAUCUUUAUGUUGCUGGGUAUUUUCUCCUUCCACACCUCCUUCUCCUUGCUGGACAGGAGGGGAGGGCAGAAGACGUGUUUGUGGCCACAUUCCCGGUGUGGCCCGCCUGGACAGGAGCCAGGGUGCACACUGACCUGCACAGCCUCUGGCCUCUGUCCCUGGGCCUGAGAGGCAGGAGCAAGGGGCCUGUCCUCACUCUGAAUCCAACUGCUGGUGACUCAGGGCACCCUGCUGGACCCUCCAGGAGAAGUUGGGGCCCACGUUUCUAGGCUGCCCACUCAUCCAAACCUCCCUCCAUGUCCCUGACCAAAGCAUUUCGCAGAUCUGGGUCCUCUGGUGUGUGAGGCUCCUCCCAGCCCAUGAGCAUUGGAAAAUGUCUACAAGAUCUUUGCCAUUUUAGGUUCUACCGAGGCUAAAGAAUGUAUGUUUCCUCUGCUUAGACUUAAGUUUUUGAGUAACUUUAUAGACACUUUGGCAUUUUGGCUGAAAGGGCAUGUGCAGUAACUGAAUAUGACUUGUGCACUGUUUCAGUGCCAGUGGGUCACAUGCAGGGGAGUCAGAGCCAAGGUGGAUGAGGCUGGGAUAUCUACAUGCUUGGUGGGGAGUUGGAGCCAAGGUGGAUGAGGCUGGGAUAUCUACAUGCUUGGUGGG
rnacentral:lncRNA from 1 species